CGUACCGGCUCUGGAGAGCGGUCGCCGCGCGCGGCCCACCGAAGGGGAGAACCGCGACGCGGUUUAAUCUCUCAGGUUUCAGGACAGAGGGGUGGUC
rnacentral:ncRNA from 2 species